rnacentral:rRNA from 1 species
UGAGGAAUAUUGCGCAAUGGCCGAAAGGCUGACGCAGCGACGCCGUGUGGGGGAAGAAGGCCCUUGGGUUGUAAACCCCUGUCAGUGGGGACGAAGAAAGUGACGGUACCCACAGAGGAAGCCCCGGCUAACUACGUGCCAGCAGCCGCGGUAAGACGUAGGGGGCUAGCGUUGUUCGGAAUUACUGGGCGUAAAGAGCUCGUAGGUGGGAAAAUAAGUCUUGCAAUAAAAGCUGUGGCUCAACUGCAGUAAAUUGUGAGAUACUGUUUUUCUUGAGAACAGGAGAGGGGAGCGGAAUUCCUAGUGUAGCGGUGAAAUGCGUAGAUAUUAGGAGGAACACCAGUGGCGAAGGCGGCUCUCUGGCCUGUUUCUGACACUGAGGAGCGAAAGCUGGGGGAGCGAACG